rnacentral:rRNA from 1 species
GAUGAACGCUGGCGGCGUGCUUAACACAUGCAAGUCGAACGAGAAAGCGCCCCCGGGCGCGAGUAGAGUGGCGAACGGGUGAGUAACACGUGAGGAACCUGCCCCCCUCCCCGGGAUAACCCAGGGAAACCUGCGCUAAUACCGGAUGCCCKKGGCCGGCCGCAUGGCCGGCCCGGGAAAGCCCAGGCGGAGGGGGAUGGCCUCGCGGCCCAUUAGGCAGUCGGCGGGGUAACGGCCCACCGAGCCGGCGAUGGGUAGCCGGGUUGAGAGACCGACCGGCCACAUUGGGACUGAGACACGGCCCAGACUCCUACGGGAGGCAGCAGUGGGGAAUUUUGCGCAAUGGGGGAAACCCUGACGCAGCAACGCCGCGUGCGGGACGAAGGCCCUCGGGUUGUAAACCGCUUUCAGCAGGGGAGAAACUGACGGUACCUGCAGAAGAAGCUCCGGCUAACUACGUGCCAGCAGCCGCGGUAAUACGUAGGGAGCGAGCGUUAUCCGGAUUCAUUGGGCGUAAAGCGCGCGUAGGCGGCCGGCUAAGUCGGGAGUCAAAGCCCGGGGCUCAACCCCGGCCCGCUCCCGAAACUGGCCGGCUUGAGUCUGGCAGGGGAAGGCGGAAUUCCCAGUGUAGCGGUGAAAUGCGCAGAUAUUGGGAAGAACACCGGUGGCGAAGGCGGCCUUCUGGGCCACGACUGACGCUGAGGCGCGAAAGCUGGGGGAGCGAACAGGAUUAGAUACCCUGGUAGUCCCAGCCGUAAACGAUGAUCACUAGGUGUGGGGGACACUGAGCCUCCGUGCCGAAGCCAACGCAUUAAGUGAUCCGCCUGGGGAGUACGGCCGCAAGGCUAAAACUCAAAGGAAUUGACGGGGACCCGCACAAGCAGCGGAGCAUGUGGCUUAAUUCGAAGCAACGCGAAGAACCUUACCUGGCCUUGACAUGCAGGUGAAGCGGCGGAAACGCCGUGGCCGGAAGGAGCCUGCGCAGGUGGUGCAUGGCUGUCGUCAGCUCGUGUCGUGAGAUGUUAGGUUAAGUCCUGCAACGAGCGCAACCCCCGUCGCAUGUUGCCAGCAUCCAGUUGGGGACUCAUGCGAGACUGCCGGCGUCAAGCCGGAGGAAGGUGGGGACGACGUCAAGUCAUCAUGCCCCUUAUGGCCAGGGCCGCACACGUGCUACAUUGGCCGGUACAGAGGGCUGCGAACCCGCGAGGGCGAGCGAAUCCCGGAAAGCCGGCCCCAGUUCGGAUCGCAGGCUGCAACCCGCCUGCGUGAAGCCGGAGUUGCUAGUAAUCGCGGAUCAGCACGCCGCGGUGAAUACGUUCCCGGGUCUUGUACACACCGCCCGUCACACCACCCGAGUCGUCUGCACCCGAAGUCGCCGGCCCAACCCCACUGGGGAGGGAGGCGCCGAAGGUGUGGAGGGUGAGGGGGGUGAAGUCGUAACAAGGUAGCCGUACCGGAAGG